rnacentral:rRNA from 1 species
CGUGGCUAAUACUCCAUAUGGCCGACCAUUCAUUUGGUCGAUUAAAGCUUUUGCGCUUUGGGAGGGGCUUGCGGCCCAUCAGCUAGUUGGUAGGGUAAUGGCCUACCAAGGCUAUGACGGGUAGCUGGUCUGAGAGGAUGAUCAGCCACAAUGGCACUGAAACACGGGCCAUACUCCUACGGGAGGCAGCAGUGAGGAAUAUUGGACAAUCGACGAAAGUUGGAUCCAGCAACGCCGCGUGGAUGAUGAAGGCCUUCGGGUUGUAAAAUCCUUUUAAGAGGGAAGAGGAAGGACGGUACCUCUUGAACAAGUCUCGGCUAACUACGUGCCAGCAGCCGCGGUAACACGUAGGAGGCUAGCGUUAUCCGGAUUUAUUGGGCGUAAAGCGCGCGCAGGCGGCUAGGUAAGUCGGAUGUGAAAGCCCCGGACUCAAUCCGGGGAGGUCAUUCGAUACUGCUUGGCUUGAGAGCGGGAGAGGGAAGCAGAAUUCUGGGUGUAGUGGUGAAAUGCGUAGAUAUCCAGAGGAAUACCAGUGGCGAAGGCGGCUUCCUGGCCCGUUUCUGACGCUGAGGUGCGAAAGCGUGGGUAGCGAACGGAAUUAGAAACUCCGGUAGUCCACGCCGUAAACGAUGGGUACUAGGUGUAGGGAGUAUUAACCCUCUCUGUGCCGCAGCAAACGCGUUAAGUACCCCGCCUGCAGACUACGGCCGCAAGGCUAAAACGCAAAGGAAUUGACGGGGGCCCGCACAAGCAGCGGAGCGUGUGGUUCAAUUCGAAAAUACACGAAGAACCUUACCUAGGCUUGACAUGAUAGUAGUAGUGAAGCGAAAGCAGAACGAUCCUUCGGGAAGCUAACACAGGUGCUGCAUGGCUGUCGUCAGCUCGUGCCGUGAGGUGUUGGGUUAAGUCCUGUAACGAGCGCAACCCUUACUGCCAGUUACAAGUGUCUGGCGGAACUGCCGGUAUAAACCGGAGGAAGGUGAGGAUGACGUCAAGUCAGCAUGGCCUUUAUGUCUAGGGCUACACACACGCUACAAUGGCCGGCACAAUGGGUCGCCAAGCCGCGAGGCGGAGCUAAUCCUUAAAGUCGGUCUCAGUUCGGAUUGUAGGCUGCAACCCGCCUGCAUGAAGUUGGAGUUGCUAGUAACCGCGCGUCAGCAAUAGUGCGGUGAAUACGUUCCCGGGCCUUGUACACACCGCCCGUCACGUCAUGGGAGUCGGUAACACCUGAAGUCGGUGAGCUAACCUAACGGAGGCAGCUGUCGAAGGUGGGAUUGGCAACUGGGACGAAGUCGGAACAAGGUA